CCGGCGGUGGCGGAAAUGGAAGACGCAGCGGUAAUGCAGAGUUUCAUGUCUGUGGAACUGACAGCAAAUAAGUGCUAGGGGUGCCGACCAAUUACAGGUUCAAAUCCUGUCCGCCGGU
rnacentral:tRNA from 1 species